UGAACUCAUGUUUGUUUUUAUCACAUGUAUCACUAUUUUAAUUUUUUAAUACAGAGAUGAUCUGGUAAAAAAUAAAAUAGUAAAUUUCUAUGCACUUCUGUGGUUGUAGACAGCAGCGUGUGAACGGGACUUUUGUUUUGGUUUGAUGACGUGACGUCAUAAGGCGGCGCCGCGCUCCUGCUCCCGUUGUAAUUCGGCUAAAGAAAGGACAAACACACAGAAAACUCCUGGUGAAGCGACUGAGAUCCUUGUGAUACACUAUUAUAAAGAUGGCGUUUUUUAAAGAGGAGACUGAAGAUAUGAAGAUUGAAGAAACAUUCAGAAUUAAA